GACGAACGCUGGCGGCGCGCUUAACACAUGCAAGUCGAGCGAAGCUGCGGACGGGUGAGUAACACGUGAUUAACCUGCCUUAGACAUUGGGAUAGCCUCGGGAAACCGGGAUUAAUACCAACUGGUCGAAGUGGGACUCGCGUCCCAUUAGCUAGUUGGUGGGUAACGGCCCACCAAGGCGACGAUGGGUAGCCGGCCUGAAAGGGUGAACGGCCACAUUGGAACUGAGAAACGGUCCAAACUCUACGGGAGGCAGCAGUGGGGAAUAUUGCACAAUGGAGGGAACUCUAAGGCAGCGACGCCGCGUGAACGAAGAAGGCUUUCGAGUCGUAAAGUUCUUUUAUAUGGGAAGCGGUACCAUAAGAAAAAGCCCCGGCUAACUACGUGCCAGCAGCCGCGGUAAUUC
rnacentral:rRNA from 1 species